CGUUACGAACGUGACUCAAUACAUUAAAUAGAUUCCUAUCAGAUAAGUAAACUGUUGAUGCUUGCCUAUGGCUUGCCCUCGGGUAGGUCAUUGGGUAAGUGGAAGUUUACCUGAUAGUUUGUCAACUGUCAAAGGUUGGCUUUGAUCUGCUUAAUGAGACAAAUUGUGUUUAGCAAAAUGAGAUUGAGCAAUAACAGGUCCGUGAUGCCCUUAGAUGUCCUGGGUUGCACGCGCGCUACAAUGAGACCAUCAACGUGAUACCUGAUCUGAAAGGAUUGGGAAAUCACUUAAAUGUGCUCUUAGUUGGGAUUGUGGAUUGUAAUUAUUCACAUGAACCUGGAAUUCCCAGUAAAUGCUAGUCAUCAGCUAGCGUUGACUAAGUCCCUGCCCUUUGUACACACCGCCCGUCGCUAUUACCGAUUGGUUAUUUAGUGAGGUCUCCGGAGGUAAUCGCCGAAGAUGCUUAGGUAUCAUUAGGUUGUUUUGCCAAAGUUGACCGAACUUGAUGAUUGAGAGGAAAUAAAAGUCGUAACAAGGUUUCCGUAGGUGAACCUGCGGAAGGAUCAUUA
rnacentral:rRNA from 1 species